UGUGCUAUCAUUUCGCCGGCACUAUUUGUAUAUUUCUUCUGCUUGCUCAAAAACCUAGCAAGGUCAACCAUAUUUACUAAGAAGUUCCUUCUCUCUGCCAUGUAACAAUUAUAAUGGAGGCUAUUAGUGGAAGCAAUUUUUUUUUUAUUUGUUACUUAUGUAAGUAAAGUUAUCGCAAAAAAACUAGAUCUACAAAUACUUUUUGGACCUACUGUAAGUUCUAUACUGAUAGCAAAGGUUCGGCAAGAGCGCUCACUUCGUGCUGGGUGUCACCAGGAGACUGCUAAAGAUGCGGAUUUCGAUUGACGGUUCGGCGUAUUUAGUUUUUGUCUGAACAUACUGUACGCCUUCUUCUAAGGCGAAGCAAGUUCGGACAAGAUAUUGUGUAGUGCCAGUCAAAACGUGUUACGAAGAAAGCGAGGGUGCCGAAGCCAUCAGAAAUAUAAAAAGCCACAACAGUGAAGCGAACCGCCACCGCGUCCGAGGCCCCGGCGGAUACGCGCAAAUAAAAAGGUUUAGUUAUAGUAAGCCAAGGGUUGUUCUUUACCCCCAUAUCAGUCCCCUUCAUUCCGCGAUCGGCCCCCUCGCAACGACCCUGGUUCGCUGAAGCGUCCGGCACCAGGGGGCCCGCGAGUCGCGUACGCCGCCGUGUCGCUUAGCAAUGCGGCAGGUGGAGAACAACAACGUUACAAUCUUA
rnacentral:lncRNA from 1 species